CCUACGGGCGGCAGCAGUGGGGAAUAUUGCACAAUGGGGGAAACCCUGAUGCAGCGACGCCGCGUGAAUGAAGAAGUAUUUCGGUAUGUAAACCUCUAUCAGCAGGGAAGAAAAUGACGGUACCUGAUUAAGACGCCCCGGCUACCUACGUGCCAGCAGCCGCGGUAAUACGUAGGGGGCAAGCGUUAUCCGGAUUUACUGGGUGUAAAGGGAGCGCAGGCGGGAUAGCAAGUCUGGAGUGAAAGCCCGGGGCCCAACACCGGGACUGCUUUUGAAACUGUUGGGCUAGAGUGCAGGAGAGGUAGGCGGAAUUCCUAGUGUAGCGGUGAAAUGCGUAGAUAUUAGGAGGAACACCAGUGGCGAAGGCGGCCUGCUGGACAGUAAAUGACGCUGAGGCUCGAAAGCGUGGGGAGCAAACAGGAUUAGAUACCCCUGUAGUC
rnacentral:rRNA from 1 species